UACGAAGGGAGCUAGCGUUGUUCGGAAUUACUGGGCGUAAAGGGUGCGUAGGCGGUUUGACAAGUCAGAUGUGAAAGCCCCGGGCUCAACCCGGGAACUGCGUUUGAGACUGUCAGGCUAGAAUUCGGGAGAGGUGAGUGGAAUUCCCAGUGUAGAGGUGAAAUUCGUAGAUAUUGGGAAGAACACCGGUGGCGAAGGCGGCUCACUGGACCGACAUUGACGCUGAGGCACGAAAGCGUGGGGAGCAAACAGG
rnacentral:rRNA from 1 species